UACGAAGGGGGCUAGCGUUGCUCGGAAUCACUGGGCGUAAAGGGUGCGUAGGCGGGUCUUUAAGUCAGGGGUGAAAUCCUGGAGCUCAACUCCAGAACUGCCUUUGAUACUGAAGAUCUUGAGUUCGGGAGAGGUGAGUGGAACUGCGAGUGUAGAGGUGAAAAUUCGUAGAUAUUCGCAAGAACACCAGUGGCGAAGGCGGCUCACUGGCCCGAUACUGACGCUGAGGCACGAAAAGCGUGGGGAGCAAACAGG
rnacentral:rRNA from 1 species